rnacentral:lncRNA from 1 species
CAUAAUUCCAGCUAUGGUGGAAUAAUGGCCAUUCUGUAUUAUCUCUGGUUAAAUUCUCCAAUCUGACUCUGGACUCUUCAAACCUCUCUUCCAGCAGGACAAGCUCCUAGCACCCAAGACAGUGCAGGGGAGAAAUCAGUAGGAAAGAACAGUGUUGUGUGCAAAUUGAAGUGGUUGGAAAAUCUAUUGGUCGUGCACAUUUUAAAAACUCUUUGUGAAAUAAAGUGUUGGACUCAGACUUCCAAGUGGCCACCAGUCUGGAGCAAAGUAUAUUGAGAAGUAAAAUGGUUUGUUUCUUCAACUGCUCAUCCCCUUUUGACAUCUGUUCCCUUGGAGGAUGCCAGUGCCCCAGGACCUGGUGCUGGAGAUAACGGCAGCUGGAGCUCACCAGCUUCUUGGACUCACAAAGAUCCUCAUUGCUCUGGGCCUGGUUUGCUGCCUGUCAUUCCUCAGGAGUUCCCUGGUCUACGGAGCCCAAGCUGUGCCAUUUAUAUCAGGAUAUGAACACAAAGUAACUCAAGUUCAGGACACAAAGUAACUCAAGUUCAGGACAGAGGAGACCUCCGAGGGAGAGUUCUUCAAAAGAAAUUGAAAUACUAUGACAAAAGGAAAAGAAAGAACACAUUUCCACUGGGGGUAUCAAAUAUCAUUUUCUUAACAAAACAGGUGACUUUGGCUGGGCCUCAAGGGUAAGUGAGAUUUCAGGGUCAAUGGAAAAUAGUCAGAAGUUCAUGGAGACCAAGAACUAGGACAUGUGUCUGAGUAACAGCAAAUCAUUCUCGUCAUAACGAAUGACAUAAUCUUUGUGGAGCAUACCAUUAAGGUUACAGAAAG